AACGUAGGUCACAAGCGUUGUCCGGAAUUACUGGGUGUAAAGGGAGCGCAGGCGGGAAGACAAGUUGGAAGUGAAAUCUAUGGGCUCAACCCAUAAACUGCUUUCAAAACUGUUUUUCUUGAGUAGUGCAGAGGUAGGCGGAAUUCCCGGUGUAGCGGUGGAAUGCGUAGAUAUCGGGAGGAACACCAGUGGCGAAGGCGGCCUACUGGGCACCAACUGACGCUGAGGCUCGAAAGUGUGGGUAGCAAACAGGAUUAGAUACCGUCCGGCUGACUGACU
rnacentral:rRNA from 1 species